UACGUAGGGGGCUAGCGUUGUCCGGAUUUAUUGGGCGUAAAGAGCGUGUAGGCGGCCAGGUAGGUCUGCUGUGAAAACUCGAGGCUCAACCUCGAGACGUCGGCGGAAACCAUCUGGCUAGAGUCCGGAAGAGGAGUGUGGAAUUCCUGGUGUAGCGGUGAAAUGCGCAGAUAUCAGGAGGAACACCAAUUGCGAAGGCAGCUCGCUGGGACGUUACUGACGCUGAGACGCGAAAGCGUGGGGAGCAAACAGG
rnacentral:rRNA from 1 species